rnacentral:tRNA from 1 species
AUUUAAAUAAUUUAAAUUUAAAAUAUUGAUUUGUGGAAUCAAAAAUAUAUCUAAAAAUAUUUUAAAUU